rnacentral:rRNA from 1 species
UAUUCCCCACUGCUGCCUCCCGUAGGAGUCUGGGCCGUAUCUCAGUCCCAAUGUGGCCGUUGAACCUCUCAGUCCGGCUACUGAUCGUUGACUUGGUAGGCCGUUACCCCACCAACUAUCUAAUCAGACGCGAGCCCAUCUAUCAGCGGAUUACUCCUUUUCCUAUUGCACCAUGUGGUACUUAGGCAUAUGCGGUAUUAGCAGUCAUUUCUAACUGUUGUUCCCCUCUGAUAGGCAGGUUGCUCACGCGUUACUCACCAGUCCGCCACUAAAGCCAUUGUUAUAAAUCUUCAUCAAGUCCCUUUGAACAAGUUCUCCGUUCAUAUCAAAAUCAGUAUAACGACUUCCGUUCGACUUGCAUGUCUUAUGUGCGCCGCCAGCGUUCAUCCUGAGCCAA